rnacentral:lncRNA from 1 species
CCGGCUACUUGUACAUUUAGUAAUUUAUAUUUAUUUGUACAAACCAACAGCAUACUGACUUGUCUGAAAGGCUACUAAAAAGUACUGAAUUGACUAUAAUCGAAUUGUUUGAACGAAUUUUCCGCAGUAGAUAAGUCUAAAAACUGGCUGAAAGAUUAAACAUGACUCAAUAAUUAAUCGUUCUGACUUUUCAUAUGAUGUUGAGAUCAAAAUGAAUGUUUUAAACUAUAAUCCAUUUACCAGUGUUUUGCGUUAUAGAACAACUACUCUCUUUGUAUAACCUAUCAGAAGUUCUGUUUAAAAUUUAUUUUAACUUUGAAGCAGCAAUUAACUCACUGUGGAGUUAGAAUUAUUGCUUGUAAUUUUCAAAAUAGAAGAUCUGUCUUCAAAGCCAGCAAUACUCCGUGAUCAACUUUUA